rnacentral:rRNA from 1 species
CAGCAGCCGCGGUAAUACGGAGGGUGCAAGCGUUAAUCGGCAUUACUGGGCGUAAAGCGUGCGUAGGCGGUUCGUUAAGUCUGUUGUGAAAGCCCCGGGCUCAACCUGGGAAUGGCAAUGGAUACUGGCGAGCUAGAGUGUGUCAGAGGAUGGUGGAAUUCCCGGUGUAGCGGUGAAAUGCGUAGAGAUCGGGAGGAACAUCAGUGGCGAAGGCGGCCAUCUGGGACAACACUGACGCUGAGGCACGAAAGCGUGGGGAGCAAACAGGAUUAGAUACCCGCGUAGUCCCUGUCUCUUAUAC